rnacentral:misc_RNA from 1 species
UCCUGGUUAACCCAGGCAGUCUCAUUAGAGUUCCCACCUUAAAUGUUGGCAACUAAUGAUAUGGGUUGCGCUCGUUGCGGGACUUAACCCAACAUCUCACGACACGAGCUGACGACAGCCAUGCACCACCUGUCACGCGCCCCGAAGGACCCCGCAUCUCUGCGAGUUUUCACGUGAUGUCAAACCCAGGUAAGGUUCUUCGCGUUGCAUCGAAUUAAUCCGCAUGCUCCGCCGCUUGUGCGGGCCCCCGUCAAUUUCUUUGAGUUUUAGCCUUGCGGCCGUACUCCCAAGGCGGGGUACUUAAUGCGUUAGCUACGGCACGGAUCCCAAGGAAGGAAACCCACACCUAGUACCCACCGUUUACGGCGUGGACUAC